GACGAGCCACACAAACGUUAUCCGGAUUCACUGGGUUUAAAGGGUGCGUAGGUGGGUUGGUAAGUCAGUGGUGAAAUCCCCGAGCUUAACUUGGGAACUGCCAUUGAUACUAUCAGUCUUGAAUACCGUGGAGGUCAGUGGAAUAUGUCAUGUAGCGGUGAAAUGCUUAGAUAUGACAUAGAACACCAAUUGCGAAGGCAGCUGGCUACACGAAUAUUGACACUGAGGCACGAAAGCGUGGGGAUCAAACAGG
rnacentral:rRNA from 1 species